ACAAGCAAGAGCUGAAGCCGAGUCAAAUAAUGUUGCCUCAGCCAGCCGACUUCAAAGGCGUGCGGAGGGAACGCAAAAAUGGUUUUUUAGCCAUUUUACGCCGAGGGCGAGAAAAUGCGCACCUUGAAUAGCGAGGGAAACGCUUUGAUGAGCACCAGCGGCAGGCACAGCGCCUGGGCGAGUUUUAUUUCACUCGCAGAAAAAACAGAAGUGAAAUGCUGAGGAGCGCUCUCGCCCCCGAUCUCUGCGAUUUGCCACCGAAGAGGGCGAGGGCUGCAGAAAGUUUUCUAUUCUCGGCCCCGAAAGAACGAAGCGAGAAGCCGAAAACUUCCCCCGCUGAAGCCCAGGGGUCGCCGCCAGCCCAGCUCCCGCUCUCCGUGAAACCGAGACGCAAUUCGGCGGAAAAGAAAGAGCUUUUCGGAAGGCAAAAUAAAAUAAAUAGAUAUAA